UUGAAGCGUAAGGCUUUCUUUUGCUUAUAGUUGUACUAGCAAUUUAGACAUGUCAUUCAUAGAGAUUUUGGUUCAAGACGACGAUGACAAAGAAGCUCAAGAAAAGAUGAUGAAUAUGGGUUCAUCAAUAAAUCAGAUCACUGGCAUACCAAAUUAAGCCAGGAAAAAUUGAAGAAGUCACCGGAAAAUAUGGUUGCUGGAUGAGGAGGACGAGGAGAGUUCAAUUUUUUUGAGUCUCCACCGGACGACCUUGUCCUUUCCAUCCUCACCAAACUCAACUCCACAGAGGAAUGCCCCUUUGAUUUCAUUAGUGUUUUAAGCACAUGUGUGUCUCCAUGGAUUUGAGAAUUAUUACAAUACUUCAUGGUUUGGCUCUCCAGUCUCAGGUCCUAUCGAAAGCUUUUAUAUAUGCAGAGACAAAUGCCACUAUUUGGAGCUGCCAUGCUAUAUAUACUUACUUAUUAAGUCAGUACGUGGCACAACCCUACAGCCCCGAAUGUUUCUUCAAGAUUAACAAUAAUCAGUGUCAUCAUCGAAAUUCACAGACUACUAAUCAUCACUAAUUAAUUUUAGCUUACCCCAUAUAUAGGAGGACUGUGAGCAAGGACUUUUUCAACAAGCUGUGUUCUAAUCUACAGCUUGUGGUGGAUUGUUGAUAUGUCUCUAAUAUUAAGGUUCAGCAGACGAGAACCGCAGGAAGAGGAAGAAGCAUUGAUCAGAAGAAGAAACAUGAAGCUCAGUACAAGGCAAUAGGCCAUGAGACCAGACUUGUUGCAGAAACUUUAAGAGUCAUAUUUAAUCUGUAUGUGUCUGAUGAUGAUAUGUUGAUCAUACAUGUAUAAUCAAUCAAUGAGGGCAUGUGGUUUUGGAAGACAGAUCUCACACGUGAAGAAGCAACUAUACAUAUGGAAGAGUACUGUUGGUCCUAGAGACAUCCUGGAAGGGUAGUGUAUUUGUAGUUCUUCUAUCUUUUGAAGUAUUUGAUGUUGUGGUAGUGUAUUUAUACAUGUUUUUCUAGACUACAAAUGUUAUUUGAGAUAAGUUGCUAGGUUGGAAAAUUACAAUCACAUUAUAUAUAAACAAGGGUUAAAUGGCAAACUCGCCUUUAGAUUA